CAGUGCUGUGUAUACUGUGGCCUAUAGUGUCCAUGAGAUGAAUCUUCAACAAAUACAGACUCAACCAUAUGCCAAUGGAGAACAAAUGGCAUUUUCCCCCUGGAAGCUUCACCCUUUCUUAAAGAACACAAUAAUGAAAAGUCAUGUGAGAGAACACACAGUAAUGCAUGGGGAAGAAACUUAGAUGCACAGUAUGACAUUCUUAAUUUUUGGAACUUUCCAAGUGGUCUUGGAUUAAAGGUGAAAGUAGGAACCUAUUCUCUAAGUGCGCAGAAUGGUCUACAGUUCUCUAUAUGUGAACAGAUGAUACAGUGGCCUACAGGGUUUACAAAGAUUCCUCAGUCUGUGUGCAGUGAGAGCUGUAGGCCUGGAUUCAGGAAAGCUGCCCAGGAAGGCAAGGCUGUCUGCUGCUUUGACUGUACUCCCUGUGCAGACAAUGAGAUUUCCAAUGAGACAGGAUCAUCAACAACCGCUGUGGGUCCCAGAACGGCUGACCAGAGCAAUUCAGGGCAAGCAGAACAAUGAGGACAUGGAUGUUCCUGUGGCUGGGAAUGCUCCCACUAGUGAGAACUGAAGAGCUAUGUUGGGUAAUUAAUUAUGUCUGUGUUCCUGAAACCCAUGCCAUUGACACAUUCGGCGCAAGUGUUUCCUCGAUUCUUUACAUCUAAUGCUUUGCUACAAUUGCCUUUUUUACCAUGGGAUGGAGAGAAAGCUCCAGUGCAAGAAUCUAUGCUGCUGUAGCUAAAGGGAUUGUUGUGUUUUCAGAUGAUUCAAAAUAUUUCACAGAUG
rnacentral:lncRNA from 1 species